UAGCCUCUUGUUGCAUACGCUGGCUGAGACUGAGGAAUGCAGCUCGCCUUUAUGGCCGGGGUUCGCCCACGUUCGAGCUUAGGAUGUUGACAUAAUGGCCUUCAACGA
rnacentral:rRNA from 1 species